rnacentral:rRNA from 1 species
GAUGAACGCUGGCGGCGUGCCUAAUACAUGCAAGUCGAGCGAACGGACGAUAAGCUUGCUUCUCUGAUGUUAGCGGCGGACGGGUGAGUAACACGUGGAUAACCUACCUAUAAGACUGGGAUAACUUCGGGAAACCGCAGCUAAUACCGGAUGAUAUUUUGUACCGCAUGGUUCAAAAGUGAAAGACGGUCUUGCUGUCACUUAUAGAUGGAUCCGCGCUGCAUUAGCUAGUUGGUAAGGUAACGGCUUACCAAGGCAACGAUGCAUAGCCGACCUGAGAGGAUGAUCAGCCACACUGGAACUGAGACACGGUCCAGACUCCUACGGGAGGCAGCAGUAGGGAAUCUUCCGCAAUGGGCGAAAGCCUGACGGAGCAACGCCGCGUGAGUGAUGAAGGUCUUCGGAUCGUAAAACUCUGUUAUUAGGGAAGAACAUAUGUGUAAGUAACUGUGCACAUCUUGACGGUACCUAAUCAGAAAGCCACGGCUAACUACGUG